GCACCUGUAGCUCAGGGGAUAGAGCAACUGUCUUCUAAACAGUAGGUCGCAGGUUCGAAUCCUGCCAGGUGCG
rnacentral:tRNA from 1 species